rnacentral:rRNA from 1 species
UGACGGUCCUAAGGUAGCGAAGUUCCUUGUCGGGUAAGUUCCGACCUGCAUGAAAGGCGUAACGACUGAUGCACUGUCUCAACCAGUGACCCGGUGAAAUUGUAGCCGUGGUGAAGAUGCCACGUACCCGCAGUAUGACGGAAAGACCCCGUGAACCUUUACUGUAGGCUGAUAUUGGUCUUGGACGUGUUCUGUGUAGGAUAGGUGGGAGGCUUUGAAGCAGUGACGCUAGUCAUUGUGGAGCCAACGUUGAAAUACCACCCUGGAUUCGUUUGAGUUCUAACGCUGAUUCCCGUGAAACCGGGCAGCGGACAGUUUCAGUUGGGCAGUUUGACUGGGGCGGUCUCCUCCCAAAGAGUAACGGAGGAGUUCAAAGGUACCCUCAGCCUGGUUGGCAAUCAGGCAUUGAGCGCAAAGGUAGAAGGGUGCUUGACUGCGAGACUCAUAAGUCGAGCAGAUACGAAAGUAGGACUUAGUGAUCCGGUGGUUCUGAAUGGAAGGGCCAUCGCUCAUCAGAUAAAAGGUACUCCGGGGAUAACAGGCUUAUCGCUUCCGAGCGUCCAUAGCGGCGAAGCGGUUUGGCACCUCGAUGUCGGCUCAUCACAUCCUGGGGGUGGAGAAGCUCCCAAGGGUUUGGCUGUUCGCCAAUGAAAGUGGUACGUGAGCUGGGUUCAGACCGUCGUGAGACAGGUCGGUCCCUAUCUGCUGUGGGCGUACGAAACUUGCGAGGAUUCUUCUUUAGUACGAGAGGAUUUGGAAGGACGUUCCUCUGGUGUACCAGUUGUCGCGCUAGCGGCACGGCUGGAUAGCUAAGAACGGAAAGGAUAAACGCUGAAAGCAUAUAAGCGUGAAGCCCGCCUCAAGAUCAGGUUUCGUAGGGUUUAUACCCGAAAGUCCCCUGAAAGACGAUCAGGUUAAUAGGCCGGAUGUGUACGUGCAGUAAUGCACUCAGCUAACCGGUACUAACGGACGAUUGCUUGACCAC